rnacentral:rRNA from 1 species
AUACGUAGGGGACAAGCGUUAUCAGGAUUUACUGGGCGUAAAGGGCGUGUAGGCGGUCUUGCAAGUCCGAAGUGAAAUUCCUGAGCUCAACUCGGGCGCUGCUUCUGAAACUGCAGGACUUGAGUGCUGGAGGGGGUAGCGGAAUUCCUAGUGGAGCGGUAAAAUGCGCAGAUAUUAGGAAGAACACCGUAGGCGAAGGCGGCUAUCUGGACAGUAACUGACGCUGAGGCGCGAAAGCGUGGGGAGCAAACAUGAUUAGAUACCCUGGUAGUUCACGCCGUAAACGAUGAAUACUAGGUGUAGGGGGUAUCGACUCCCUCUGUGCCGCAGUUAACACAAUAAGUAUUCCGCCUGGGGAGUACGGCCGCAAGGUUGAAACUCAAAGGAAUUGACGUUG